rnacentral:rRNA from 1 species
CUCCUACGGGAGGCAGCAGUGGGGAAUUUCGGACAAUGGGCGAAAGCCUGAUCCAGCCAUGCCGCGUGAGUGAAGAAGGCCUUCGGGUUGUAAAGCUCUUUUAGUCGGAAAGAAAGAGUUGCAAUGAAUAAUUGUGAUUUAUGACGGUACCGACAGAAAAAGCACCGGCUAACUACGUGCCAGCGCCGCGGUAA